rnacentral:rRNA from 1 species
CCUACGGGUGGCUGCAGUGGGGAAUAUUGGACAAUGGGCGAAAGCCUGAUCCAGCCAUGCCGCGUGUGUGAAGAAGGUCUUCGGAUUGUAAAGCACUUUAAGUUGGGAGGAAGGGCAUUAACCUAAUACGUUAGUGUUUUGACGUUACCAACAGAAUAAGCACCGGCUAACUUCGUGCCAGCAGCCGCGGUAAUACGAAGGGUGCAAGCGUUAAUCGGAAUUACUGGGCGUAAAGCGCGCGUAGGUGGUUCGUUAAGUUGGAUGUGAAAGCCCCGGGCUCAACCUGGGAACUGCAUCCAAAACUGGCGAGCUAGAGUACGGUAGAGGGUGGUGGAAUUUCCUGUGUAGCGGUGAAAUGCGUAGAUAUAGGAAGGAACACCAGUGGCGAAGGCGACCACCUGGACUGAUACUGACACUGAGGUGCGAAAGCGUGGGGAGCAAACAGGAUUAGAUACCAUGGUAGUC